rnacentral:rRNA from 1 species
UGGCGGACGGGUGAGUAAUGUCUGGGAACUGCCCGAUGGAGGGGGAUAACUACUGGAAACGGUAGCCAAUACCGCAUAACGUCGCAAGACCAAAGAGGGGGACCUUCGGGCCUCUUGCCAUCGGAUGUGCCCAGAUGGGAUUAGCUAGUAGGUGGGGUAAAGGCUCACCUAGGCGACGAUCCCUAGCUGGUCUGAGAGGAUGACCAGCCACACUGGAACUGAGACACGGUCCAG